rnacentral:rRNA from 1 species
AUGGCCUUCUUCGACGCGGCCGCCGAGGGUGAUCUUCCCCGUCUCAGGGAGCUGGCGAGAGGCAGGGAUGCUGAGGGAAUGGCCUGGCUUGCCGAUGUGUGUAUCGUAGGUGGGGGGCCGUUUCAGACGGCGGCACGCAUGGGGGAACUGGAUGCUGUCAGGUGCAUGGUGGAGGAGCUAGGCUUUGAUGUCAAUGCUAGUAGCAAAGAUGGUGUAAGUGCUUUGACUACUGCUACAAUUGAGGAAAGAAUGGAUGUUAUGAGGUACCUUCUGGACCAGGGGGCUGAUCUGAAAAAGCCAGAUGAUUCAGGCCAUUUCCCUCUUCACCUUGCUGCAAAAUAUGGACGUGAUGAAGCAGCAUGA